rnacentral:sRNA from 1 species
UGAUACGUUGGUCCAAAAUGCUGUCCAC